UAUAUAUAUAUAUAUGUUUUCUCCCAAGAUUUUUAUUAUUUUUUCUUCUUUUUUGUUUUUGGUUUGUGAGGGAGGCUGAGUGAGUGCUUGGAAUUUGAGGGUUGGAGAUGUGAAAUUUGAGUGGAUGUUGCUGCUUCCUAGGCCAUUCAUUUAAAUCAUGAAUUCUUAAUCAUUUUUUCUUCUGCUUACACAUGCUCAUUUCUGAAAUAUCUCCAAAGUACACAAGCUGAUAAGGUCUCUUCCAC
rnacentral:lncRNA from 1 species